UAAGGGAAGUCGGCAAAAUAGAUCCGUACGUUCGCUAAAAGGAUUGGCUCUGAGGGCUGGGUGCUUGAGCCCUUGCGCCGAUGUGUCUGGCUGCUUUCCGCCUACUGGCAACGGCGGGCGGUUUGCGGCCGGUGCGGGUGCGUUUGGGAUUUUUGGCACAAUGAACAGCCAACUCAGAACUGGUACGGACAAGGGGAAUCCGACUGUUUAA
rnacentral:rRNA from 1 species